AUUGCCGAAACCCUACGUGAUAGAUUCACCCUUGCCGCUAUUAGUAUGCUUCACUGCAAAACACGUGUAUUACGGUGAAACAUACUAAAGCACAUUUGUCAGUUCGAAAUGCAAGGACUCUUGCCUUUUCGCUUUUGUGAUAUUAUGACAUUCAUUAUAUAUUCACUGCUAAAAUAUCCACAUUGAAAUGGAGACAUGGACAUUGAUGGCAGCGUGUGUGAUGUUUUAUCGUUUGCUUUAUUGUGUACCUGUCAUACUCCUAUUAAAUUUUUCUGUACUUUGUAAAGUGUUUAUGUACAUCACAUCGCAAGGAGUCACUGUGUAAUUAGCGGCCUUGUCAUGUUCAAAAACCAGGCUCUUCUCAAGAGAGGUUGGGGUUAAGUACCUGUGAAAUUUUUUUAGAGGGGGGUAGUUUUCGGAGAAGAAAUCAGAUGCAAUAAACAGACCUGUAGUAUCCUGGGUAUUUAACAGUGGAAAGGAUACAAAAUACAUCAUAUUUCUUGCCUGAAGCCAAGACGUAACUGAUAUUAAAUAGCAUCCAUGAGCAACUGCAAGCUGUGCACACCUAAAUCCAAAACGCAGUCCAUGCAGGCUAUCAGCUGCUUUGUUGAAGCCUCUGGUACAUUCUCAGUGGUGCAGUUAUUUUCGUCCGCCUUUUGCUCAAGUGCGCCCUAGACAUAAUUGAGUGAUUUGCAGUUGCAACUGGACUGCAGCCUCAGCUUGGGAGACCACUGGUAGGGCACAUUUUGUAAAACUAAGCUACACAUAGUAUUACCAGUUUGAGCAGAGACCUGUUUGUAUAUGUGUCACCUUUACCAUCUAAAUUUCUUAUCAUGAAUUCAGAAAAAUCUCCAGCACAUUGAGUUCCUAGAUUUUAAAUGCUGUAUAAGUUCUUGUUCACUGCGGUUGCGCUUGGCUUCUGUCCAAAUGGGAGAGCUGAACUUCUGCAUAGCACAUCAGGGACCAUUAUUAUUUACAUGCCUUCCUUUUAUUUAUCUUACCUACAAUCAAGAGCAAAUGUAUAUAGCACAUGAAUGUGCUGUGCAUAAACUUAACUUACAUUGCCAUGUUUAGCAGCACUGUGCAUGUAGCUGGUGUUUGGUCAUUCAAGCUAAACAUUAUUACAACCUUUAACUGUAGGUAUUAUGGUGUGAGAGCAGAGAAAUGGAUAUGCAAAGACAGUUGGGCACAUUAAGACUACAUCUUUUUGUGUGUGAAAAGAUGAAAGAUACGCAAAAUGGGACAGAACACAUGCAGUUUGAUUUUUUUCUCACACACAAAAAAUACGCCGGAGGAAUAAGGUUUCUUCACUGUGCCAUAGAAACUAUACGCUUGCUCAAAAAGGUAAUUCUGAUUCGUUGGAUUUGUUCUUGUGCUUUGUUUAUUUUCUUGAGUGUGCUUUACUUUUCAGACGUUAAUGUUUCAAACUCGUUUUUAUUUUCACAGACUGAACAUCCCACGUCUUGGUUUGGCUUCCUGGUACAGGAUACUUGCAUUUGGCAUGGAGUGAUGAAGCAGCAUGGUGUACUUUUAUUAAAAGCACAGAUUUCACCAGUAUAGAAGCAGCUCAUGAAAAAAAUGUGUGCUGAAAAUAAAGUGUUCCUACCCACAU